UCUGGGUGCAGUGGAGUUUGCCUGUAAUCCCAGCACCUAGGGAGGCUGAGGCAGGAGGAUUGUGAGUUCAAAACCAGCCUGAGCAACUUAGUGAGGCCCUAAACAACUUAGUGAGACCCUGUCUCUA
rnacentral:sRNA from 1 species